rnacentral:rRNA from 1 species
GACGAACGCUGGCGGCGUGCUUCACACAUGCAAGUCGAACGGGGAUGCAGCAAAAGCUUGCUUUUAUUGCAUCCUAGUGGCGGACGGGUGAGUAACACGUGAGCAACCUGCCCGACAUACUGGGAUAACAGCGGGAAACCGUUGCUAAUACCGGAUACUCCAUUUCUGGCGCAUGUCAGAGAUGGGAAAGGGUUUACCGAUGUCGGAUGGGCUCGCGUCCCAUUAGCUGGUUGGUGAGGUAACGGCUCACCAAGGCUGCGAUGGGUAGCUGGUCUGAGAGGACGCUCAGCCACACUGGAACUGAGACACGGUCCAGACUCCUACGGGAGGCAGCGGUGGGGAAUAUUGCACAAUGGGCGAAAGCCUGAUGCAGCGACGCCGCGUGGAGGAUGAAGGCCUUCGGGUCGUAAACUCCUGUCUGGGGGGAUGAACACUGACAGUACCCCCGGAGGAAGCCCCGGCUAACUACGUGCCAGCCGCCGCCGUAA